AACGAACGCUGGCGGCAUGCCUAACACAUGCAAGUCGAACGAGACCUUCGGGUGUAGUGGCGCACGCGUGCGUAACGCGUGGGAACCUGCCCUUAGGUUCGGAAUAACUCAGUGAAAUUUGAGCUAAUACCGGAUAAUGUCCUCGGACCAAAGAUUUAUCGACCUUGGAUGGGCGCGCGUAGGUUUAGCUUGUUGGUGUGGUAAUGGCCUACCAAGGCUACGAUCCUUAGCUGGUAUGAGAGGAUGAGCAGCGACACUGAGACGGAGACACGGCCGAGACUCCUACGGGAGGCAGCAGUGGGGAAUAUUGGACAAUGGGCGAAAGGCUGAUGCAGCUAUGGCGCGUGAGUGAUGAAGGCGUUAGGGAUAUAAAGCACGUUUACCAGGGAUGAUAAUGACGGUACCUGGAGAAUAAGCACCGGCUAACUCCGUG
rnacentral:rRNA from 1 species